rnacentral:rRNA from 1 species
AACAAACGCUGGCGGCGUGCCUAACACAUGCAAGUCGUACGAGAAAGGGUCCUUCGGGGCCUGAGUAAAGUGGCGCACGGGUGAGUAACGCGUGGAUAAUCUGCCCUUCAGUUGGGAGUAACUCAUCGAAAGGUGGGCUAAUACCGAAUAAUGCUGUGAGACCUCGGUUGAUCAGCCAAAGAGAGCCUCUGCUUGCAAGCCCUCGCUGAAGGAUGAGUCCGCGUACCAUUAGCUAGUUGGUAGGGUAAUGGCCUACCAAGGCGACGAUGGUUAGCUGGUCUGAGAGGAUGAUCAGCCACACUGGAACUGAGACACGGUCCAGACUCCUACGGGAGGCAGCAGUGAGGAAUCUUGCGCAAUGGGGGCAACCCUGACGCAGCAACGCCGCGUGAGUGAGGAAGGUCUUCGGAUCGUAAAGCUCUGUCGGAUGGAAAGAACCGCAUAGGGGUAAACAGCCCCUGUGUCUGACGGUACCAUCAAAGGAAGCACCGGCUAACUCCGUGCUAGCCGCCGCAGUAAGAC